CUGUGCAACUCCUAUUACAUAAAUACUUCGAAAGUGGGACGGCGGCCUUGCCUCUUCUAAGAGUGCUCCCAGCCAGUCAUUCCCCCUCCACAGAAUGAGGUGCAGUGAAAUGACUUGCAGUGUUUAAAUAACGAAAUGCGAGCAAUCUUUUUUGAAAUUACCGUAAACAGAACAGUGUGUGUGUGCAAACUCGGUCUGAGUUGAAUUACUUCAUAAUAAGCAACUGCUGUUGCAGAAAUAAACAACACACAUUUUGAUCAACACACGCCGACAAGGGCCGAAGUUGGGGGCAUUGCCGGUGUAUGAAGCAGUGGUGGUGGUGAAGGCACAUAUGUGAGAUAGACACAAAUUGGUGGCGUAACUCAGCGGGACAGGCAGCAUCUCUGGAGAGAAGGAAUGGGCGACGUUUCGGGUCAAUACCCUUCUUCAGACCUUUAUUUUGUUUUAUUUGGUUUCCUGUAUACUCUGACAGUCCCCACGCCAAAAGUUUUUUUUACAUUUAGAUGGCACCAGUCAGCAGCAAAAAGGUUAUCGUGCACAUGGUAUAUAAUGCAGGGCAGUGAAAAUGAAUUUAUAUUCUGUAGCUAAACACCAUACAUCUGAGUAUGAGUAUCUGAUUGAAUUGGGAUGGAUGAGUGCAGUUGGAUAAGUGCAACUGUAACAACACUCAAAAAGUUGAGCAGUAACUUCGACAAAGAAGUCUGAUGAUUUAUCCUGUAUUCACCAUCAUGAACAUUCAUCUCCGCCACCGCAUUUGCAACUUGAACUGCAGUGUCUUCCAUCUAAAUGAUGCAGAACACAAGCACAUCAAGCUAACUUCAGCAGUACCUCCUCAUUCUACAACCUCCAUCAUCUUGAAGCCUCUCGAUAGUAGGUGUGUGAGAACACCACUACAUCCAAGAUCUGUCUGUGUCACACUCCAUCCUUAAUGCUGAUCCUGCUGUGGGGGGGCAUUCAUGUUAAAUUCUAUAGUGUGUUGUGUCUUUUCUCUUUUUUAUUUUAUACGGAUGUAUGGAAACCUAAUUUAUUCUAUGUAAAUCACUUUGGUUUCAACGCGAGUUGAUUUAAAUGUGCUAUAUGAACAAAAAUUUACUUACUUGUAAACAUAUAACUGUAUUUCCUCAUUACUGCCUGGGCAAAAUGCUGGUACUCACUUCCAGCACUGUGGCGGGACAUUAAUCAUUUGGCUGGGAUAGUUCAACAGAAUUUGACUGUCACAUUCACAACGACAAUUAAUAAGUAAAAUAUGCUAGUAAUGCCUACAUAUCUUUAUCUCGUGAAUUAAUAAACAGAAUGAUAACA